UACGAAGGGGGCUAGCGUUGCUCGGAUUGACUGGGCGUAAAGGGCGCGUAGGCGGUGUGUCACGUCGGCCGUGAAAACCUGCAGCUUAACUGUGGGCGUGCGGUCGAUACGGGCAUCACUGGAGUUCGGCAGGGGAGACUGGAAUUCCUGGUGUAGCGGUGAAAUGCGCAGAUAUCAGGAGGAACACCGGUGGCGAAGGCGGGUCUCUGGGCCGAUACUGACGCUGAGGAGCGAAAGCGUGGGGAGCAAACAGG
rnacentral:rRNA from 1 species